rnacentral:lncRNA from 1 species
GAGUGGCCAAGGCAUCAAGUGGCAUAAUCGCACAAGUCCCUUCGGUGACAGCCAUUGGGGAAGAAGGCACUGGCCACUGAAAUAGAAAAAAAAGAGAAAAUGGCAUAGAUGAUAGAUCCAUCGAGUGCGGACGGUCGAGUGCUGAUGAAGCACCUCCUUUCAAGGACCAAAAAAGGAAACCAAAGGAAAAGAAAAACUGUGAGAGGAUGGAAGCACCGGAGGAGGUGGAAGUAUCUGCCGGUGGCCAUCGAAGGAAUAGAGCUGUGGAUGACCGAAGGAGGAAAUCCUAGAGUAUCGAGAGUCGAGAACGAGAUGAGAUGGAAAAAUAGAAAGGGACUGAAAUGGCGAACAGCGAAACCGCCGAAUGACCAAACCCGGA